rnacentral:rRNA from 1 species
GAUGAACGCUGGCGGCGUGCCUAAUACAUGCAAGUCGAGCGAAUGGAUUAAGAGCUUGCUCUUAUGAAGUUAGCGGCGGACGGGUGAGUAACACGUGGGUAACCUGCCCAUAAGACUGGGAUAACUCCGGGAAACCGGGGCUAAUACCGGAUAAUAUUUUGAACUGCAUGGUUCAAAAUUGAAAGGCGGCUUCGGCUGUCACUUAUGGAUGGACCCGCGUCGCAUUAGCUAGUUGGUGAGGUAACGGCUCACCAAGGCAACGAUGCGUAGCCGACCUGAGAGGGUGAUCGGCCACACUGGGACUGAGACACGGCCCAGACUCCUACGGGAGGCAGCAGUAGGGAAGCUUCCGCAAUGGACGAAAGUCUGACGGAGCAACGCAGCGUGAGUGAUGAAGGCUUUCGGGUCGUAAAACUCUGUUGUUAGGGAAGAACAAGUGCUAGUUGAAUAAGCUGGCACCUUGACGGUACCUAACCAGAAAGCCACGGCUAACUACGUGCCAGCAGCCGCCGCAG